GAAUAAAAGCGUGGCUCUGACCCUCCAGAACGUAGACAGUGGAUCCGUCGUCGCCCUCCUGGAUCACACAGCAGCCUUUGGUCAGACUGGUGGGACGCAUGCAGUCCAUGAUGUAGCUGGUCAGUGUGACGUCGCUCAGCUGGGACGGAUCCAGAGCUGAAGGUUCUGCUGAGAUCGCCUGACGUUUGGUUCUCUGAGGUUCAUCUGGAGCCGCCGGCGUCUGAACUGAAGAUCCUGAGAGAUUCAAACCAGAACAAUAAACAUGAAAACAGCAGCAGG